AUGUAGUUGAUUUGUGUUAACGUAGUUUAUUUGUGUCCAUGUAUUUUAUUUGUUUUCAUUUCGUUUUUUUUUGUGCUAAGGUAAUUUAUUUGUGUUAUGUUGUUUAUUUGUGUUAAGGUAAUUUGUUUGUAUUUAUGUAGUUUAUUUGUGUUAAUGUGUAUGUCGCUGACGUGUGUUCUUGCCAUUUAUUUGUGUUUAGGUUGUUUAUUUGUGUUAAGGUAAUUUAUUUUUGUUUACGUAGUUUAUUGUAUUUCUAUAGUUUAAAUCUAUUUGUGCUCAG
ensembl:lncRNA